GCCCCUAUCGUCUAGUCUGGUAGGACACCGCCCUCUCACGGCGACGACCGGAGUUCAAAUCUCCGUGGGGGUA
rnacentral:tRNA from 1 species